CAAGGGGUGAUUUUCUUUGCCGGCUUCUUGGAUUUUUCUCUUCGUCUUCAGAACCUGAGCCCGUAUCCCACGGUGACUCGACCCCAAUCUCCCAGCUGCUAGCCCCCCCGGAAAAAUCUUAUCUCCCCCCGCCCUGGCCAUCACCCCUCCGCAUCCCCUUUCCCCCAAAUCCUCCCCAGCACGCGCUGGAGAAAACUGCGGGCCGAGGAACACCCCAUCCUCGCCGGAGGCUGCUGCCCCCAGGGCAAAGCUUCAGGAAGACCAGCCGAAAAUCAAGCGAGAACAACCCCCCUUUCCUGCAGAAAGGGCCCCAGACUCCUGCAAAAGGGCCCCGACUGCUGAGAAGCCCCUCCCGCCCUUGCCUCAUCUUUCCGACUUCCCUGCCUGCCACGUCUCCUUUCCUUUCCAGCAAGAAGCAGAGUGUGGAGCCCUCAUCCAUUUCCAGCUGACAGCAGAGCCUGGUCUGUGAGUCCUUGACACCCACACACCCUCUUCCACCACCGCGGGGAACAUCAGAGCUCUCCGGGGGAGGGAGAAAGGGGCGGGCAGCCUGACAGGAGCGGCUGGACUCCCUCCCUCGCGUCCCCAAGCUACGGGAGAACCAAGU
rnacentral:lncRNA from 1 species